CCCUUAGACGUUCUGGGCCGCACGCGCGCUACACUGACCAGUGCAACAAGCAUCCGUCCUUGGCCGACAGGCCCGGGCAAUCUUUGAACGCUGGUCGUGAUGGGGAUAGACUUUUGCAAUUUUUGGUCUUCAACGAGGAAUUCCUAGUAAACGCAAGUCAUCAACUUGCAUUGAUUACGUCCCUGCCCUUUGUACACACCGCCCGUCGCACCUACCGAUUGAAUGGUCCGGUGAAAUCUUCGGAUCUGAGAGAUGUCUGAUUAAUUUCGGACGCCUUUUGGAAAAGUUGCUUAAACCUUACCAUUUAGAGGAAGGUGAAGUCGUANCA
rnacentral:rRNA from 1 species